GUCAGGAUGACCGAGUGGUCUAAGGCAUUGCAUUCAGGUUGCAGUCUUCCCUCAAGGCAUGGGUUCGAAUCUCACUUCUGAUA
rnacentral:tRNA from 1 species